rnacentral:lncRNA from 1 species
GUGAGAAAAAUAAUUGUGUAGAUUAAUCAGUUGUAAGAAAUAAAGCAGAGAAGGAAGGGCUAUAUCCAGAAGAUUCAGGAGAGGGAAGUUUGCAAGACUAACAAAACCGAAAGAAGAAAGGGGGAUGUCGGGUUAGAAGACUACAUGCAGGCAUACAGGAAUUGGGGAGGUCUUGGGACAGUCUGCCUGGUGAAUUGAAGAAGCUGAGUGAAGAGCGGUAAGAAAAGGGUUGGAGGUAUUGCUAAGCUGCCCAGGCUGGUCCUGAAGUUAUGACACUCCUGCCUCAGCCUUCCAGAGUGCCGGGAUUACAGAGACAGGGGCUUGCGAUGUAGUUGACCUUCAACUCACUGUGUAGCCUAAGCUGGCCUCAAACUCGCAGUGAUCUGCCUGCCUCAGCCUGCCAGGAAGCAGAGUGAGAAGGGAGGAGCCGGGGUCAAGAAUACACCUUUCCAGGUAACAGCCAAAGACUCACCUGCAAGGAGUACCCCCAGUACAUUCAGCUGUGAAUGCAUCAGUAGAUGAAUCUAAUGAGUUUUGCACCCCAUGAUCCAGUCACUCUCCAAAUACACGAGACUUUUGGGGAACAUUUUCCAUCUGAACCAUGACACAAAUAUAGCCAGUGAAGAGAAAAAGAGAUGAUAGGAAAGUAAAUAGAAUUGAAGGCAGAGAAAUAGGAGGACUUGAAUAUGAUGGUAAGAAGUAUGGAAAAUCAGAGAUUUUUCAAAAAGAAGAUAAUCACAGAAAAUGAACUUUGGAGACAAAGUUUGGAUGCUCCUUUCAAAAAAUUUCUUUAAUAACAAAACCUAGGCCUUAGAAUGUCUCAUCACUGUCUAUAUAAAAUUAUUUUUGUGUGUACCUUGUUGAGACUAAGUUUUGGUUAAUAAGAUACAGAAGAAAUGUUGCAAGGUAUUCCAAGACUUCUUUUUUUUUUUUUUGGUGCUGGGUAUUGAACUCGGGACCUUAUGCUUGCGAAGCAGGCAGUGGAAUCACUGAACUAAAGCCCCAGCCCUAGGACUUCUACUUAAUGGAAAGAAAUUAACUCCUCUUUCGCUGUUCUCCAUCCUGCUGUCUGAACAUAGCUAUGAUAGCUGGAGCUCUGGGAGCCUUACUGUGCAAUUAUGAUGAGGUUCACACAAUAAAAGGAAGGAAAGUAUGAGUUGGAAGAAGCCUUAUGUCUUCAUAAAGUUGCCUCACAAGCUUUGAACUGCUUAACUCUAAACUUUUAUGUGGGAAAUAAACAUCUCUUAUUUAAGCCAUUGUCACUUUUCUGCUGUGUGUAGCUGGAGUAACCCUUUUUCUCUACAACCAAACUGCCAAUCCUAAGCCCUCCAUUAUUAAAAUUUUGGAGCCCAUGAUUUUAACAGGAAAUUUGAUAUAUUUGCAAGGGUGAAAUGAUUAAGUUUUAAAUUUGGGAAUGUGGAACAUUUUAAAAGAUCUACUCUAAGAAAAAAAAAAAAAAAGAGCACUCUCCCCAAAAGAAAAAAACCUCUUGACUUUCCUCCUGACACAGUUUCCAAGUAUCUCACACUGAUUUCAGCUAAUUUGUUGUCAGUGUUUAGGAAUUUUCCUAAGCAAGGUCAUAAAGCUCACGUUUUGUUUUGUUUGGUCUUGAACAGAAAUAUGACCAACUUUACUUCUUCAUAUGUACAUCUUGAUACAUUCUUUAACAAAUAUUUACCAUGCAGUGACAUCCUAAUUUUAUUCUUAGGCUCUUUCCUUCCUGUUUGUUGUGAUUUGCACUGAAACACUGGGCUCUGAAUUCACCCCUGCUCCCUUUCUUCCUAGACAAACUUGUCACAGUUUGAAUACAUGGUACUUCAUUUAAAUUUUUAAUUGUUCUCAAACUGGUCCAGAAGUGCCAAAGUGGUUGCAAAGGAGGAUAAAAGACUAGGAGGAAUGUCUCCAAGCAAAACAUGAAGCUGAUUAUUCGAUGUGCUUGACCAUAUUAAGAAAUGUUUCAAAAGUGUACCAUUUUUUUCCCUCAGGAAGCUUGGCGGUGAAUCAAUGUUUGGUACACAGAACACUAAGCCUGGGCGCGCGCGCGCACACACACACACACACACACACACACAUCUUGUUGGAGAAUGUUGCUUUAGAUGUGCCAGCCAAAUAAGCUUCGGUGUUAAAGCUAAACUCUAGAAGUAGGCCAGGCAACCCUCUCAGUCACAGAAGGACUGGGAGAAUCAUGAUCGGUGCAGUUUGCUCCCAAAAGGAAUGUUAUGGUUUGUGUUUCGAUGUCUUCCCAAAGCCUCAUAUGAAUGAGGUGGGACUUUCUUUUUCAGAGGUAGUUGAAUCUGGAAUGUGUGAUGCUGGGGUUAAGGGCGUGUGAUUACUAAACCACUACAUGUGAGUGAUUAGUUUGGCACCACCCUUACCCUGGUAGUCUGAAUAAGAUAAAAGGGACAGAGAGAUGUUAAAGUCUCUCAUUACCUUUGCUGCUUUGUGCGUGCUGUGUUUCUCUUCUGCGAUGCUUGUUUGCCAUCCCUGUCUUCGAGCCAGCUGAUUAUGGACUGAAACCUCUAUAAACUGUAAGCCAAUAAACCCUUCCCUUUUAACUUUGGGUGUUGGGUAUUUUGUCUCAACAACAAGAGAAAAGUAACUAACACAAGGAAGAACAGAGCUCACAAUUAUUCUUCCCAAAUUUACCUGCCUGAUAAAUUGCUCUGCCUCCCCAGGAAUGGAGCAAGGUAAAGAGCAAAGAGAAGCCAGGAUAUUAUUUAGGGAAGUUGUCUCUUCAAAGAAAACAGAAUUAGGGAAAAGUAUUUUCCUUGGAUAGUAUGCAAGUCAUCUAGCCUCUUUUGUGGCCUAAUUUUUUUUGCCAUCCUGGGAAUUGAACCCAGGACCUUGCACUUGCAAGGCAGGCACGGUGCCACUGAGCUGAACCCUUGGCCCCUUAUGCCCUAAUUCUUAAGCUGUUAUUCAUCUUCCAAAGAUCACAAAAGUAAAAUGUAUUAAACAUGAAAAUUAAUAUACGUCCUAUAACUAGUUACCAACAACUAGUAUUUAAUAAGCAUCUAAGAGGUUAAAGAAACAGUUCUAAGCCUUUCACACGAACUAACUCAAAUCUCAAAACAGUAUUAUUACUUUUAAUUUACUUUGGUUUUUGUUUUUGGUACUGGGGAUUGAAUUCGGUCUUUGUGCUUGUGAGGCAGGCGGCAGAACCACUGAGCUAAAUCCCCGGGUAUUACUUUUAAUUUAAAAAGAAAGAAACUGAGUCCCCAACGUUAAGGAACUUGUUUACACUCACAUAGUGAGCAAGUGAAUGAGUGUGACCUUAACUGCAUUCUCAGUGAUCCCAUUCAGUAAAUCCUACAUGCCAGGGCACUGACUUAUUCCCAAGACUUUCUAAAUUGAAAUGGAAUGUUGCUGACUUUAUGUAUGGCCCUGUACAGAGUGAUGUUAUUGUUAUUAAUGGCUUUGCUUCUAGGGAUAUUCUGGCUCUUCUCCACCUCAGACCUCUCAGGAUGUUGCUUUCAGGAAGUCACUGCCUCACCAUCCCUCCCAUAGGUCUAGGUUUCAUGCUCUUUCCAGCUCCUUUGUUGUAUAAUCUGUUUAAUCAUGUUAUAUAAAAAUUGCUAUUUUAAUUUUCUCCCCUCCCUCUAGUGUCUUUGUGACAGGAACUAUGUUUUCUGUCUCUGAUGGCAUGAGUUACAGAAUAUUACUCACACUGCUUAGAUACACUAGGAACAGUGUAUUUUAUUCUUAAAGACUUCUAUGAUCUUAUCAUUCCCCAACUGCUAGACAGGCAAAAGAAAAAGUAAUAAUUUGAGCCUCAGUUGUUUUAAAACUUAUUUUGAUAAUAUAUUUAUAACAAUCUCUUUAACCUUGUCUCUCUGAAAUAAUUGUUCUAUGUUAUCAAUGGCCCAUCCUC